UAGGGAAUAUUGCUCAAUGGGCGAAAGUCUGAUGGAGCAACUCCGCGUGCAGGAUGAAGGCCCUCGGGUCGUAAACUGCUUUUAUGAGUGAAGAAUAUGACGGUAACUCAUGAAUAAGGGUCGGCUAACUACGUG
rnacentral:rRNA from 1 species